GACGAACGCUGGCGGCGUGCUUAACACAUGCAAGUCGAACGAUGAAGCCGGAGCUUGCUCUGGUGAAUUAGUGGCGAACGGGUGAGUAACACGUGAGUAACCUGCCCUUGACUCUGGGAUAACUGCUAGAAAUGGUAGCUAAUACCGGAUACGACCCUCGGAGGCAUCUCCAGGGGGUGGAAAGAAUUUCGGUCAAGGAUGGACUCGCGGCCUAUCAGCCAGUUGGUGAGGUAAUGGCUCACCAAGGCGACGACGGGUAGCCGGCCUGAGAGGGUGACCGGCCACACUGGGACUGAGAAACGGCCCAGACUCCUACGGGAGGCAGCAGUGGGGAAUAUUGCACAAUGGGCUCAAGCCUGAUGCAGCAACGCCGCGUGAGGGAUGACGGCCUUCGGGUUGUAAACCUCUUUUAGUAGGGAAGAAGCGAAAGUGACGGUACCUGCAGAAAAAGCACCGGCUAACUACGUGCCAGCAGCCGCCGUAA
rnacentral:rRNA from 1 species